rnacentral:rRNA from 1 species
UACGUAGGGUGCGAGCGUUAAUCGGAAUUACUGGGCGUAAAGCGUGCGCAGGCGGUUUUGUAAGCCAGAUGUGAAAUCCCCGGGCUUAACCUGGGAAUGGCAUUUGGGACUGCAAGGCUCGAGUGCGGCAGAGGAGACUGGAAUUCCUGGUGUAGCAGUGAAAUGCGUAGAUAUCAGGAGGAACACCGAUGGCGAAGGCAGGUCUCUGGGCUGACACUGACGCUCAUGCACGAAAGCGUGGGGAGCAAGCAGG